GCCAUACCCUGAAAAAAACCUCCGCAGAUACUCUGGAGGAUGGUAGAGACUGGAGAAGGGCUCCACAGAUGCAGAAUUGAAGAAGGAGAGAAAUAUCAGCUUUGCUCUCCUUCUGCCUGUCUGGUUGUGAGUGAAAAUCCAGAGGAAGACAGAUGCCAGCUAAGGUCUUGGCAAUGCAAACACAUGUGAGUAUGUAAUUCUUCUUCAACUCAAAUU
rnacentral:lncRNA from 1 species